ensembl:lncRNA
UGCUUCUCCACAGCACGGAGGGCAGCAGAGCACUGUUGAGUGGGCUGAAGCCCACUGGUGGCCUCCUAUCCCAUGGAGUACGACCCAGCCACGGGAAAACCAUGACCCAGCCAUAGGAACACAAUGACCCAGCCAUAGGAACACCACAACCAAGUCAUAGGAACACUAUGACCCAACCGUAGGUACACCAUGACCCAGCCAUAGGAACACCAUGACCCAGCCAUAGGAACACCAUGACCCAACCAUAGGUGCACGAUGACCCAGCCAUAGAAGCACCAGGAGCUGGGUGGCCUUGAGCAUUGGCCUGUAUGGCUCAUGGCACAUGAUGGAUUUCCCUUAUUUCUUCUCAUUUCUUGAGCAUCUCCUUCCCUGAGCACCCAUCUGCCCUUUGUGAAGGCGCUCUGAAGGGAACCUGGUGAUGAAUUCUUCUCAUCUUUUCUGCUGCUUUUGUUGCUCUUGCUUUAAUAAAGUGCAAGGAACUGAUGCUCAAACACAAAUUCUCAAUACAUACCAUCCUCAGCCAAAAAAUCUCUCAGAAGGCUCCAACCCAGGUGAACACAGCCAUCUCCUCACUGUGCUGAUAUUUCACAGCCUGAGGGACCCAUCUCAUUGCUUUCCCCUAAAUAUUUCUCUGACCCAAUUAUACGAGUGUCAGAGGCCCUGUUGCUGAACGCUCAGCCCCUAGGUCCCACGUGCCAGAGUCCAAACCCAGAGCACACUGUGGGACUGGGAGCAGAUGCCCCGAAGCUCUUGGCCCCACAGAGCCCUUCUGCCAGCCUUUCUCCAACAUCUAACCCCUUCACCCCUCCUGAUUUCCCCAAUGGCAAACAAAUCCCAUCAUGCUGACAGUGAUCCUCGGUGCCACGGGCCAUGGCUGUAUUUCCAGGAAAGAAAAAAAAAAGGCACCUGUAAGCCUUUUCUUCCCCUGGAAAUCAGCUGGGUUUCUCCUCUCGGAGGUACUCACACAGCAAUCUACAGCCGCUCCCAGUCGCCCACCCCCAGCGCUCCUCUGAACUCUCCCCAGAUCUCUCCCACACGCCUCAAUCUGAAGGCAGAGCUGAGCUGGCAAAGCCCUCCAGCACCCACCAGCCAUAUCCACC